rnacentral:tRNA from 1 species
UCCGGGAUCGUCUAACUGGCAGGAUGCCUGAUUUUGGCUCAGGCGAUGAGGGUCCGAAUCCUUCUCCCGGAG